ACCCAGGAGUGAAGGGGAGGAGACGCCGGCCCGGGGGGGGGACACACGCCAGAGGGCGGGGUCCAGUCCAGAACUGGAGCGGGAAGCCGGCAGGCGAGCAGAUUUGCAUGUAAUCCAAUAUCCUCCCCCACCCCAAAGCCACCAUUCCUUUGAGUGGACCUGUGCUUAACUCAUGCAGUGAUACAGUUGUCUAUGCAUGCUGUGCCCACUGCCCUUCAACUGAACCAUGGACUACAGUUCAAGAGAUCCAGACAAUAACCAUCUGCCUUACACAGAUGGGAUCAGACCAAUCCAGAUGGAUAGCGUGAUGGGAAUGAAGGAAGUAGAUUUGAACUCUCAAGUAUUUGCAAGCCCUCUUGCAAGAGUCAGCGAUGAAUGAAAGGAGCAGGAUGUUGCUUGCAAGCUGCCAGGUUCAAGGAGAUGACAUGCAGGCAAUACAUGACAUUUAAAGGCUUCUAGUGAGGUUUGUUUACUUCACACGUUACAGUGUAAUUGGGAAAGAGAUCAACAGCUGGCAUCUAUCAUAUAUCUGAAUCUUAAUGCCAAGGAUUUUGAGAGGCCCUCUUGAGACUGAAAACGACUGCAGAUAGGUUCACAGUGUCCUUCAAGUGGUAGCAUUAAUUUGUACUUUGAAAUGCUUAUCUUCCACUUCAACAGAUUAUCACCUUUUCAUCUCUGAGUCUGGUUGGGAAUAAUGAUUCAAAAACACUUUGGAUUGGGCUGCCCAACAUUUAAAAAACAAGAGUUAGUUACUAAUUAACAAAUAGCUAAACUGUAUGGCCGUAGGACCAGUUUGCAAAUGCUCCAUCACAAAAAUAACAUGCAUGUAGUGGAAUAGUAGACUCAUGUUCAUGUCAUGCGUAACUUGUGACUACCUGGCCAAUUGUACUAGACUGCAAAUGUGGAGUGCAAGCCAUGCAAACAAUAAUGUCCUACUGGAAAAAAUCUAACUUAAAACGUUUGUCAUGGGAAUUAAGUAUUGUUUACUUUUCCUGGCAUUGAAUUUAUUCAGUUACCCAGCACUGGCACAGAGGAUGAAAGUGAUUGUAUCUGCUGGCCCAGUGCUUGACCUAUAUGCACGAUCAUGAAUCAUGGAGGAAUCAGGGUUCCCAGUUAUAAUAUGCACAAAGCUCGAUUUCAUUUUCAGGUGAAUACACAAAGGAUGGAGGCCUGCCAGCAGACAUGAUCUCUCUUCCUCUCAAGUUUGGUGAAAAGUAAAUAUAAGAUGAGAAUGGGGAUAAUUUUAAAGUGGAAUAAAUAUCGUUCCCAGCAUACUGAAAGGCUGCCAAAUGGGAGGACCCCAACAAUGCAGACUCUCGCGACAACACCCUCAUCAGCUCCUGAGCUAGUCACAGCUGCCCCACUAACAUUGGCCUGAUAUUUGUUCUCAUAAAUGGCACUACGCACAGCUGGCCCAAGUCAUUUUGCUGCCUGAGGUGAGGGCCAAAAUGUUACCCACUCACAUUCCAUGUACAGAAUGUGGCUGAAUCUCACUUCAACACAUGCAACAGGGCAGCAUAUUCCACCGCACUUGUUGCAGCAGGCUUGUUUACGGGGUACAGAGUAGGCGGCAGGGCACUUACAGCCCUGUCACCUGAUAUCUCACCACUGCUACCAAUCCCCUCACAGAAUUUGCCACCUGAGGCAGCCUCUUCAUUUUACCUUAUGGAAGGGCUGGCCCUGGUGAGCAUGGCCAAUCUAUGGAAAACUACAGUGAGAAAGUGGCAGGCAAAACAUGAUACACCCUGCACCCAGGCUACUUCUUUGCUAUUAUCAACCACUCCUGAAGUGUGUCUAUU